UCUGUGCGAAGGUAGCAUAAUCAUUAGUUCUUUAAUUGUGAUCUGGUAUGAAUGGCUUGACGAGAUAUGAGCUGUCUUAGGUGUGGUGAAUAGUUAGUUGAAUUUGGUUUUUGAGUUAAAAUUCUUAGAUGUUUUUAUGGGACGAGAAGACCCUAUAGAGUUUAACAUUUGACUUAUUUGUUUAGCUGUUUGUUUUGUAUUUGGUUGAUUAAUUUAAGUGUUUUGUUGGGGUGAUGGGAGGAAUUUAUUUAACUCCUCUUUAUUUUUUAUAUUUAUAUAUAAUUUGUUUUGAUCCAUUUAUUUUGAUUAUAAGAUUAAAUUACCUUAGGGAUAAACAGCGUUAUCUUCCCUUGGAGAAGGUUCUU
rnacentral:rRNA from 1 species